UCCGAUGAAGUGUGACACUGGGGCAUGAUAUUGAUACUGUGAUUCUGGUCAGGACCAGUGGUUCAGAGAGAUUAACUGAUUCAACUAAUUCAACUGAGGUCAACACUACAAGUCCGCAGAAAAAUCCCUGGGCUCAACAGUGAGAUGAUAUGUCCACGUCACCAACCUGUUUGAUGGACAGCUUUUUAUCACACUGCAGUAAAGACCUGUGCAGCUACUCCUCCCAAGACAGAGCUGAAAGCUGCAAACUGCAUAUCAAGUGUCCGGUGGGGUUUGGGAGGCAAUGAUGAACAUUCAUUUCAAGAAAUUUCUUUUGGAUUCAGGUAGUACUGAGUACAUGAAAAAGGGAUGAAGAUAUCUCACUGAAUUUCCUGCAUAUUGGAACAUCUGACCUGGUUUUAAUGUUUGAAUAUUGUGGGAUUUUACAUUUAUGAUACAUUUUUAGUAAAAUCUUUAUUUUGAAAGCAGCAGCAGCAUGUUUCUAAUUUCCUUAUUUUACUGCACUUUCUAGUGUUAGCUACAGUAGAAAAUUCAGAACCUCUGCACUGACAUUGGCACUAACUGUUCAGCAGUGCAG
rnacentral:lncRNA from 1 species